GUUGGCGGGGUAACGGCCCACCAAGGCAACGAUCAGUAGGGGUUCUGAGAGGAAGGUCCCCCACAUUGGAACUGAGACACGGUCCAAACUCCUACGGGAGGCAGCAGUGAGGAAUAUUGGUCAAUGGACGAGAGUCUGAACCAGCCAAGUAGCGUGCAGGAAGACGGCCCUAUGGGUUGUAAACUGCUUUUAUAAGGGAAUAAAGUGAGAGUCGUGACUCUUUUUGCAUGUACCUUAUGAAUAAGGACCGGCUAAUUCCGUGCCAGCAGCCGCGGUAAUACGGAAGGUCCGGGCGUUAUCCGGAUUUAUUGGGUUUAAAGGGAGCGUAGGCCGGAGAUUAAGCGUGUUGUGAAAUGUAGACGCUCAACGUCUGCACUGCAGCGCGAACUGGUUUCCUUGAGUACGCACAAAGUGGGCGGAAUUCGUGGUGUAGCGGUGAAAUGCUUAGAUAUCACGAAGAACUCCGAUUGCGAAGGCUGCUCACUGGAGCGCAACUGACGCUGAAGCUCGAAAGUGCGGGUAUCGAACAGGAUUAGAUACCCUGGUAGUCCGCACGGUAAACGAUGGAUGCCCGCUGUUGGUCUGAAUAGGUCAGCGGCCAAGCGAAAGCAUUAAGCAUCCCACCUGGGGAGUACGCCGGCAACGGUGAAACUCAAAGGAAUUGACGGGGGCCCGCACAAGCGGAGGAACAUGUGGUUUAAUUCGAUGAUACGCGAGGAACCUUACCCGGGCUUGAAUUGCAGAGGAAGGAUUUGGAGACAAUGACGCCCUUCGGGGCCUCUGUGAAGGUGCUGCAUGGUUGUCGUCAGCUCGUGCCGUGAGGUGUCGGCUUAAGUGCCAUAACGAGCGCAACCCCUCUCCUUAGUUGCCAUCAGGUUAAGCUGGGCACUCUGGGGACACUGCCACCGUAAGGUGUGAGGAAGGUGGGGAUGACGUCAAAUCAGCACGGCCCUUACGUCCGGGGCUACACACGUGUUACAAUGGCAGGUACAGAGAGACGGUCCCUUGCAAAACGGAUCAAAUCCUUAAAGCCUGUCUCAGUUCGGACUGGGGUCUGCAACCCGACCCCACGAAGCUGGAUUCGCUAGUAAUCGCGCAUCAGCCAUGGCGCGGUGAAUACGUUCCCGGGCCUUGUACACACCGCCCGUCAAGCCAUGAAAGCCGGGGGCGCCUAAAGUCCGUGACCGUAAGGAGCGGCCUAGGGCGAAACUGGUAAUUGGGGCUAAGUCGUAACAAGGUA
rnacentral:rRNA from 1 species